rnacentral:rRNA from 1 species
GUAACGGCGAGUGAAGCGGCAACAGCUCAAAUUUGAAAUCUGGCCCCCCGCGGGCCCGAGUUGUACUUUGGAGAGGACGCUUCUGGCGCGGCGCCGUCCGAGUUCCCUGGAACGGGACGCCGGAGAGGGUGAGAGCCCCGUACGGGCGGCCGCCUAGCCUCUGCGAAGCUCCUUCGACGAGUCGAGUAGUUUGGGAAUGCUGCUCAAAAUGGGAGGUAAAUUUCUUCUAAAGCUAAAUACCGGCCAGAGACCGAUAGCGCACAAGUAGAGUGAUCGAAAGAUGAAAAGCACUUUGAAAAGAGGGUCAAACAGUACGUGAAAUUGUUGAAAGGGAAGCGCCUGUGGCCAGACUUGCGCCCCGCGGACCACCCGGCGCCUCGCGCGCCGGGGCACGCCAGCGGGGCGCAGGCCAGCAUCGGCUCUCUCGGGGGGACAAAGGCCGCGGGAACGUAGCGCCCUCGCGGCGUAUUAUAGCCCGCGGCGCCAUGCCCCCGGGGGGGCCGAGGACCGCGCUCCGGCAAGGAUGCUGGCGUAAUGGCCACCGGCGACCCGUCUUGAAACACGGACCAAGGAGUCAAGCAUUGGGGCGAGUGUCUGGGUGGCAAGCCCGCACGCGGAAUGAAAGUGAACGCAGGUGGGAGCUUCGGCGCACCACCGACCGAUCCUGAUGUCCUCGGAUGGAUUUGAGUAGGAGCCCCGCCGCUUGGACCCGAAAGAUGGUGAACUAUGCCUGUAUAGGGUGAAGCCAGAGGAAACUCUGGUGGAGGCCCGCAGC